UACGUAGGGGGCAAGCGUUAUCCGGAUUCACUGGGUGUAAAGGGAGCGUAGACGGCGACGCAAGUCUGGAGUGAAAGCCCGGGGCCCAACCCCGGGACUGCUCUGGAAACUGCGUCGCUGGAGUACGGGAGGGGCAGGCGGAAUUCCUGGUGUAGCGGUGAAAUGCGUAGAUAUCAGGAGGAACACCGGCGGCGAAGGCGGCCUGCUGGACUGCAACUGACGUUGAGGCCCGAAAGCAUGGGUAGCGAACAGG
rnacentral:rRNA from 1 species